rnacentral:rRNA from 1 species
UUGGGCACUCUAAGGUGACUGCCGGUGACAAACCGGAGGAAGGUGGGGAUUACUUCAAAUCAUCAUGCCCCUUAUGACCUGGGCUACACACGUGCUACAAUGGACGGUACAAAGAGCUGCAAGACCNCGAGGUGGANCUAAUCUCAUAAAACCGUUCUCAGUUCGGAUUGUAUGCUGCAACUCGCCUACAUGAAGCUGGAAUCGCUAGUAAUCGCGGAUCAGCAUGCCGCGGUGAAUACNUUCCCGGGCCUUGUACACACCGCCCGUCNNAUCACGANAGUUUGUAACACCCGAACUCGAGUGGGGUAACCUUUAUGGACCACCCGCCUAAGGUGGGACAGAUGAUUGGGGUGAA